GCGUGGAGCCGACCUUGAAAUACCACCCUUUAAUGUUUGAUGUUCUAACGUGGACCCGUAAUCCGGGUUGCGGACAGUGUCUGGUGGGUAGUUUGACUGGGGCGGUCUCCUCCUAAAGAGUAACGGAGGAGCACGAAGGUUGGCUAAUCCUGGUCGGACAUCAGGAGGUUAGUGCAAUGGCAUAAGCCAGCUUGACUGCGAGCGUGACGGCGCGAGCAGGUGCGAAAGCAGGUCAUAGUGAUCCGGUGGUUCUGAAUGGAAGGGCCAUCGCUCAACGGAUAAAAGGUACUCCGGGGAUAACAGGCUGAUACCGCCCAAGAGUUCAUAUCGACGGCGGUGUUUGGCACCUCGAUGUCGGCUCAUCACAUCCUGGGGCUGAAGUAGGUCCCAAGGGUAUGGCUGUUCGCCAUUUAAAGUGGUACGCGAGCUGGGUUUAGAACGUCGUGAGACAGUUCGGUCCCUAUCUGCCGUGGGCGCUGGAGAACUGAGGGGGGCUGCUCCUAGUACGAGAGGACCGGAGUGGACGCAUCACUGGUGUUCGGGUUGUCAUGCCAAUGGCACUGCCCGGUAGCUAAAUGCGGAAGAGAUAAGUGCUGAAAGCAUCUAAGCACGAAACUUGCCCCGAG
rnacentral:rRNA from 2 species